UGUUUAGGAUUAAGUGAAUCCCAAUAUCUUGGAUCAAAUAUAUCAGGCUGAAAAGAAUCAUCAGUAUUCUCAUUGUUAUCAGCAUCAUUAUUAUUGAUUUCAACACUUGUGUCAUUAAUAAGAACUUCUUGAACCUCAGCAUUAUUUUCUGUCCCUGUCUGAUCAUCUCUAGGAUUAUUUUCGAUACUUCUAUCAAGUGCAGGAGCUUGAUCAAGUGUCUGAUUACUGGAAGAUACUUGUGAUUCUUUUAUAAUAAAUCUAUCAAUUGCUCCUUUCUGAGAUUGAGUUAACUCCUCAAUUCUUUGUUUCUUCUUACGCUUUUGGGAACCCGAUUCAAAAUUUCUAAAUCGAUUUGUAGAAGACAUGGCUUCAGAAGAUGAA
rnacentral:sRNA from 1 species